GCCCUGACUUCUGCAGAGGCCAUAUCACAUGGCCAAUGCAGACAGCAGAUUGACAAUGCAGUGCCUUUAAGUCAGUCAGACAGUGGCCUUCUAAUCUCUAUGGGGUUCUCUCUACCUGGUUUUAUAACAGAAACGUUGCAGUGGCAUAGCACACAUCUCACAUUCCAGAAUGCAAGAUCAGCGCAGCAAUAUUUACAGGCCAUAGCACAGCACCCGGCUCUACUAAUCAGCUCAGUAGGUAGUAGGCACAGCACCCGGCUCUUCUUAUCAGCUCAGUAGGUAGUAGGUACAGCACCCGGCUCUACUAAUCAGCUCAGUAGGUAGUAGGUACAGGACCCGGCUCUACUAAUCAGCUCAGUAGGUAGUAGGUACAGGACCCGGCUCUACUAAUCAGCUCAGUAGGUAGUAGGUACAGGACCCGGCUCUACUAAUCAGCUCAGUAGGUACAGGACCCGGCUCUACUAAUCAGCUCAGUAGGUAGUAGGUACAGGACCCGGCUCUACUAAUCAGCUCAGUAGGUAGUAGGUACAGGACCCGGCUCUACUAAUCAGCUCAGUAGGUAGUAGGUACAGGACCCGGCUCUACUAAUCAGCUCAGUAGGUAGUAGGUACAGGACCCGGCUCUACUAAUCAGCUCAGUAGGUAGUAGGUACAGGACCCGGCUCUACUAAUCAGCUCAGUAGGUACAGGACCCGGCUCUACUAAUCAGCUCAGUAGGUAGUAGGUACAGGACCCGGCUCUACUAAUCAGCUCAGUAGGUAGUAGGUACAGGACCCGGCUCUACUAAUCAGCUCAGUAGGUAGUAGGUACAGCACCCGGCUCUACUAAUCAGCUCAGUAGGUAGUAGGUACAGGACCCGGCUCUACUAAUCAGCUCAGUAGGUAGUAGGUACAGGACCCGGCUCUACUAAUCAGCUCAGUAGGUAGUAGGUACAGGACCCGGCUCUACUAAUCAGCUCAGUAGGUAGUAGGUACAGCACCCGGCUCUUCUUAUCAGCUCAGUAGGUAGUAGGUACAGGACCCGGCUCUACUAAUCAGCUCAGUAGGUAGUAGGUACAGGACCCGGCUCUACUAAUCAGCUCAGUAGGUAGUAGGUACAGGACCCGGCUCUACUAAUCAGCUCAGUAGGUAGUAGGUACAGGACCCGGCUCUACUAAUCAGCUCAGUAGGUAGUAGGUACAGCACCCGGCUCUACUCAUCAGCUCAGUAGGUAGUAGGUACAGGACCCGGCUCUACUAAUCAGCUCAGUAGGUAGUAGGUACAGGACCCGGCUCUACUAAUCAGCUCAGUAGGUAGUAGGUACAGGACCCGGCUCUACUAAUCAGCUCAGUAGGUAGUAGGUACAGGACCCGGCUCUACUAAUCAGCUCAGUAGGUAGUAGGUACAGGACCCGGCUCUACUAAUCAGCUCAGUAGGUAGUAGGUACAGGACCCGGCUCUACUAAUCAGCUCAGUAGGUAGUAGGUACAGCACCCGGCUCUACUAAUCAGCUCAGCUCAGUAGGUAGUAGGUACAGGACCCGGCUCUACUAAUCAGCUCAGUAGGUAGUAGGUACAGCACCCGGCUCUACUAAUCAGCUCAGCUCAGUAGGUAGUAGGUACAGGACCCGGCUCUACUAAUCAGCUCAGUAGGUACAGCACCCGGCUCUUCUAAUCAGCUCAGUAGGUAGUA